UAUCUCUGUAGAGUCUGCAUAUCAAUAAGCGGAGGAAAAGAAACUAACAAGGAUUCCCCUAGUAACGGCGAGUGAAGCGGGAAGAGCUCAAAUUUGAAAUCUUCAAGGUUUGACCUUGACGAAUUGUAGUUUAAAGAAGUGUUUUCGGUUAGAGGAGUAGUAAAAGUUCUUUGGAAUAGGACAUCAUAGAGGGUGAGAAUCCCGUAUUUGACUAUUCUUUCUAGCUUUGUGAUACACUUUCAAAGAGUCGGAUUGUUUGGGAAUGCAGUCCAAAAUGGGUGGUAAAUUUCAUCUAAAGCUAAAUAUUGGCGAGAGACCGAUAGCGAACAGGUACCGUGAGGGAAAGAUGAAAAGAACUUUGAAAAGAGAGUUAAACAGUACGUGAAAUUGUCAAAAGGGAAGCGUUUGACACCAGUGUUGUUUUUCCGAAAAUCAAUUAAAAAUUGAUUCAUGCCAGGUUGUAUUGACCUUAUCAGCUUGCAAUUUGGUUUUGGGUCUCUUUUUGAUGCACUUUUCGGUUAACAAGUCAACAUCAAUUUCCUUUGCUGUAAAAAGGUAAGAGGAAGGUGGCUUCAAUUUCGGUUGAAGUGUUUAUAGCCUUUUAUCUCUGCAGUCGGGGAGAUUGAGGUCUGCAGCGUAGAUCCUUCGGGGCUAGAUACAUUUAUGCUAAGUUAUAGCUUUUCAUAGACAACUUGUUGACUAUGUUUAGUCAUGUAGCUUACUCGUAAGUGCUAUUUUACCUACGCUUAGGAUGUUGAGCGCAUGUCUCUCUCU
rnacentral:rRNA from 1 species